AAAGACUAGACCAUCAUUUCAUUUCAUAUCUAAUCAUAGGCUUCAAGUUUAUCUAUCUUCUUCACACUCACUGAGCAGAUGAAUAUGAAGACUUGGUCUAGAGUUCUAGCUGCUCUGGCUCUUGCUCUUUCCAUGGUGCUCUCAACAUGGCCUGAUAUUGCAACAGCACAAGCUCGUCCAUUAACUUCUGCUUCUGCCUCUGCAUCGAAAAAAGCAGCUUCUGCAUCUUCAUCACAAGGUCUUGAAGAUUUGGAGGCGAAGAAGAAGAACCCGUAUAUGCAAGUUGGCUCAAGCUUUAGAAGAAUACCACCAAGCACUUCAAAUCCCACACAGAACAAGUAAAGUCCAAUCCUCCAUAAGGUGGCUGUAAGUGGAAGUACAGAACAUUAAGGGCAUCUAGCUAGCUAGCUUUCUCCCUCAUUCAUUUUUAGACCACUUGUAAUGCAACUGCAGUUUUGCU